rnacentral:sRNA from 1 species
AUUUAUCGGUCUCGUAAUGGAUGUCUACGACGGAGCACAAAAGCCGGAGCACUUGAAGCCCGAUCAAAAGCUUACAGCAAUCAGUGACAAGCCGGGCCUAUUGGAAAUUGCCGCUUUUGGGCUCUUUUUCCAGGUAAAAACAAGGAAUUUUUCGAUGAAAAACGCUGGAUUUUCUUUCAGGGAACCCUCGUCGGACCACAAUUCACACUUUCAAAAUUCCGUUCAUUUGUUAAUGGAGACUGGUUGGAUUCUGAUGGUCAACCACCGAAAUCUGCGUAAGUUUGGAGGGAAAAGCUAAAAAAUCUGGAAUUUUCAGCAUUUUUAGCCACAUUUUGACUGAAAAUUCGAGAAAAUUGGCCUAAUUUUGAUCCAAAAGCGAAAAAAAUCGCUGAUGGCCUAAUUUUUGCGGUUUCUAGGCCACCAAUCGGAAAAUUAUGCUCUUCAGAAUUUUGUCGUCAAAAUUUUCAAAAUUGGUGACUUUUCUAGCCUUCAACUUGGAAUUUUAGCCAAUUUUUCACUGAAAAUUGUGCUAAAACUCAAUUUUUUCGAAUUUUCAUACCUAAAUUGUCAAUUUUGAAGCUUUUCACCGAAAAUUUCGAAUUUUCCGUUAGUUUCUAGAUGGCAAACUCAAAAUUCGAGUUUUCCGGGUUACUGUAGCCCCAGAAGUACGCAAACACUGCGGAGCUUACGACAAAAUGCACAGUUUUCUAAAAAGUUGAGAAAACUAUCGGGAUAGGGGUAAUAAGUACUCCUGAAUCCGAAUUUUUUGGCUAAAAUUUAUAAAAAACUGGGGAAUUUUCAUUUUUAGCUUAAAUUUCCCGAGAAAACGCCGAUUUUCUCCAAAAAUCCCGAUUUUUGUAGAUUUUUACUGGGAUUUUCGUAUUCUUACGAAUUUUUCGUGCUAAAUAAGCUCGAAUUUGACAUUUUGAGACGAAAAUCGAAAAUUUUGAAAAAAAAUCGCAUUUCCACUGAAAAUUUCAAAUUUUCACCAAGUUUUUUGAAAUCCUGACACAAUUUUAGCCUACAAUCGUGUUUUCCCAGCUUCCUAACUCGAAAUUUGAAUUUCGCGGGGUACUGUAGCCCCAAAAGUACGCAAACACCGAGGAUCUCACGACAAAAUGCACAGUUUUUGCAUUUUUGACGAUAGAGUCUUGAAAAUUGAGUUCCAGGGGUAAAAAGUGAUAGGGAAAUCGAAUUUCUUAUCAAAAACUUGAGAAACUCGUUGGAUUAAAUGAUUAAAAUGAAUUUUACAAAUUUCUAACUUUUUCCCUAGUUUUUAAUAAUUUUUCAAUGCGAUUUUCGAACUCCCCGCCAUUUUUCACCCCUGAAACUCUUUUCCCCAGCUUUCUAUCUCGAAAUUUGAAUUUCCCGGGUUACUGUAGCCCCGAAAGUACGCAAACACCGAGCAUCCCACGACAAAAUGCACAGUUUUCUGAAAACUUGCGAAAAUAUGCAAAAUAGGGCUAAAAUGGUGCUCUGAAUUCGAAUUUAGCAAUGAAAAAUCGUAAAAAUGUCUAGUUUUCGAGUUUUCCCCCCACAAAAAAUCCGAUUUUUUUGCAGAUUCCUUCCGUCAAUUGGCCGUUUUCUUGCCGGUUGUACCUAUAUGGUACUCCAUCAAUGGGGACAAUUCUGGAUUCCUGAUCAAUAUUUUAAUUCUGAUGCCUACAACAAUUUAUCCUUUUUCUGGCGGUGGUCAUGGGUUACCCUGUGGUUUAGGCUUACAAUGUACAAAUAUUGUGCAAUGUGGCUUAUCACUGAAGGAGCAUCGAUUUUGAGUGGGCUGGGACAUAAUGGAAAGGAUGCAGAGGGAAAUGAUAGGUAGAAUAUUGAAAAAUGGUUAAAAUACUGGUUUUAGCGUGAAAAAUGGUGAAAAUCCACUAAUUUUAGACAAAAAAUGAGCAUUUUCAGGAGAUUUUGAAGUUUUGAGCAAAAAAUUUCUAUAAAAUAGAUGAAAAUCUUCAUUUUGACUAAGAAAAAAAUACCGGAAAAAUCAAUAAAUUUCCCGAAAAAAUCGAUAACUUCCCAAAAAAAAAAUCGAUAAUUUCCCGAAAAAAUCAAUAAUUUCCCGAAAAAUCAAUAAUUUCCCGAAAAAUCAAUGAAUUUCCGAAAAAAUCGAUAAUUUCUGGAAAAAUCGAUAAUUUUCAAAAAAAAAAUCGAUAAUUUUCUGAAAAAAUCGAUAAUUUACCGAAAAAUCGAUAAAUUUACUGAAAAAAACAAUAAUUUUAAUAAAAAAUCGAUAAUUCUAAAAAAAAAAUCGAUAAUUUUCGCAAAAAAUCGAUAAUUUCCUGAAAAAAUCAAUAAAUUUGCGGAAAAAAAAUUUUUCUGCGAAAUUCGAUAAUUUCCGGAAAAAUUGAUUUUUCACUUUUUCGGGGUUACUGUACCUUUAAAAGUACGCAAACACCUUGGCAAAAUUCUCCAUUAUCGAUUUUUGAACAUUUUUUUCUGAAAAUCCCGGAUUUUCUGUUCAAUUUUCGAAAUCCCCACCCAAUUUUACGCCAAAAUCAAGUUUUUCCUGGUUUUCUAGCUCAAAAUUUGUCAAUUUCUAACUAUCAAAUUCUUCGAAUUCUCCGCCAUUUAUCACUUCUGAAACCCGUUUUCCUGGCUUUCUAGCUCGAAAUUUGAAUUUCCCGGGUUACUGUAGCCCCGAAAGUACGCAAACACCGAGGGCCUCACGACAAAAUGCACAGUUUUCGUAUUUUCGACGUUAGGCUCCUAAAAACUGGGUCUCGGGGGUGAAAAGUGAUGGAGAAAUCGAUUUUCUACCUCCAAAAACUUUGGAAACCCGUUGGAUUAAGUUGAAUUUCACAAAUUUCCUACUUUUUUCUUAGUUUUUAACAAUUUUCAAUACCAUUUUCGAAAUCCCCACCCAAUUUUACCCCAAAAUCGAGUUUUCCCAGCUUUCUAGCUCGAAUUUUGAAUUUCCCGGGGUACUGUAGCCACAAAAGUACGCAAACACCGAGCAUCCCACGACAAAUUGCACAGUUUUCUGAAAAUUUCCGAAAAUAUGCAAAAUAGGGGUAAUAAGUACUUCUGAAUCCGAAUUUCUUGGUUAAAAUACAUAAAAACUAGGGUUUUGCCCGAAAAGUUCAAUUUUUCACUAAAAAUAUCGAUUUUUUGCAGAUGGGACGGAGUUCGUGACCUUCACAUCAUCAAAUGGGAGACCGGACACGACUAUAACUCGGUCGUCGAGUCGUUCAACUGCGGAACCAAUACUUUUGCCAAAAAG